UGUUAUCUCCUUUAAGGGCUCUUCCUCUUUCACCCAUUCAUCUCCUUCAUUUUCAGCAAGGUGAAUGCACAGCCCUUGCUCUCCAAAUCCAUUAAGGAGCAUUGUAGAAGGAAGUCCCUGAAUGCAGUAAGUCUGAUUUGCAUAGAUGGGCGUCUCGGGCACACUCUCUACGUCCUCCGGUAUUAUCUCUUGCUUUCCAUAAAAUAUCUUCCCAUAUGGACUGAGUUGACGAACUUCUGCUUUUAACCAUUGGCCAAACCUUCCUGGUAGGUUAUCUGCUAACCCCGAUUUCUCAUAGGGUAUUUCUCUGCAAAAUGUGGCAUAAUGCCCAAUCUUUCCACACGAGUAACAGUAAUGUGGGAGUCGUUCGUAUUUGAAUUCAAUCCACAGCCUCUUUUUCUCCAAAUUUACUAGGACUCCUGUCUUCAGAGGCUUCUC